rnacentral:rRNA from 1 species
CGCAUGUGCGCAAGCACGAUGAGGGAAUCCUAAGUGCCUAUGCUUUUGCAUGGGCUGUUCCCCUGUCUAAAAAACAGGAGGAGUAAGGGCUGGGUAAGACGGGUGCCAGCCGCCGCGGUAAUACCCGCAGCCCAAGUGGUGGUCGUUAUUAUUGGGUCUAAAAUGUUCGUAGCUGGUCUGGUAAAUUCCUGGGUAAAUCGAAUUGCUUAACAAUUCGAAUUCCGGGGAGACUGCUGGACUUGGGACCGGGAGAGGUCAGAAGUACUUCUGGGGUAGGGGUAAAAUCCUGUAAUCCUAGAGGGACUAUCAGUGGUGAAGACGUCUGACUAGAACGGAUCCGACAGUAAGGAACGAAGCCCUGGGGCGCAAACGGGAUUAGAUACCCCGGUAGUCCAGGGUGUAAACGCUGUAGGCUUGGUGUUGGGGGUUCUAUGAGAACACCCAGUGCCGGAGAGAAGUUGUUAAGCCUACUACCUGGGGAGUACGGUCGCAAGACUG